GAACAUGAUCUAGACCAGGAUGUUCUGUUCUUUAGUUCCACUUCUAGCUCCUCAGAUUCUAGCUCCGGUGGAUUCUCAUCCUCUGAUACAGAAUCCUUCAACGGUGCAAGAUCAAGGUCUUCUUCCUUCUUCCCACCAAGGCCUAAGCCUGUGAGGACCAGCAUCUCAACUCUAUCAGAAAAAACAGAGAAAACAGAGAGAACAGGGAGGACUCUGUUUUAUGAACAGAGGGAAUUGCAU
rnacentral:misc_RNA from 1 species